GUGCUUGGCGGAGGCAGGAGGGGAGGCGGAGGUCUUCCUGCGUACGUGAGGAACAGGACCUCAGGUCCGGGCUUGGAGACCCCAGUUUCGUUAUCAUUGGUAUUUGGCCGUUUUAUCAGGCGUUUACAGCUGCGAGGAGACUUGCAGAAUCUAGCUUUUGAAGCUGAAGAAAAUUUUAUCAAUGAAGAAACUCAGCCCACAGAGCUAAAGUGACUUUGUUCAAGGUCACGCAGAUCGGCUAUAUGAGAGCCAAGCCUAGAACCCGUUGUCCUGGACUCUAGUUCUGUUGUCCAGCCCUGGGACUAGACCUCAGCUCUUUGACAGUUGGGUGAAAUGCCCCCGCCUGUGCCUUAAUGAGUAUUCCCUUUUUACGGUACGAACUGUGGAUUGGUGCAGUACCUGCAUCCUCAUUUACAGACGGAGAACCUGAGAGGCAUCCAUCCCAUCCAGAACAGUUGCAGAGCCAACUUGACCCAAAACUGACAACUUGGGUUGCCAGCCUGUCCUGAGAGUAACUGAUCGGUACAGACCCCGGCUUCCGGAUUGCAGAGUAUCAUCAGUCUUCAGUUCCAACUUAGAAGCAAAAGGAGUACAUCCCAGCUGCUCUGUUCUCCUUCAGGAACCAGGACAGAUUCCAAGAAGUAGCAUUUCAGGAUCAAAAGGCACUUUCGGAGGUAGGGUCAUGCUCACAUUCAUGGCCUCUGACAGCGAGGAAGAAGUGUGUGACGAGCGGACGUCCCUGAUGUCAGCCGAGAGCCCCAUGCCGCGCUCCUGCCAGGAAGGCAGGCAGGGCCUGGAGAACGGAGAGGGUGCCACCCAGUGGGUAGGUUCCCACCAGCAGUCCAAGGCCUCCGGACAGAGAGGCCAGGAGAGCGAGGAGGACCAUGAGGAGGACCCUGACCGCUACGUCUGCAGCGGGGUCCCCGGGCGGCCACCAGGCCUGGAGGAGGAGCUGACCCUCAAAUACGGGGCAAAGCACGUGAUCAUGCUGUUCGUGCCUGUCACGCUGUGCAUGGUCGUGGUGGUGGCCACCAUCAAGUCCGUGCGUUUCUACACGGAGAAGAAUGGACAGCUCAUCUACACACCUUUCACCGAGGACACAUCUUCGGUGGGCCAGCGCUUCCUCAACUCCGUGCUCAACACCCUCAUCAUGAUCAGCGUCAUUGUCGUCAUGACCAUCUUCCUGGUCGUGCUCUACAAGUACCGCUGCUACAAGUUCAUCCACGGCUGGCUGAUCAUGUCCUCCCUGAUGCUGCUGUUCCUUUUCACCUACAUCUACCUUGGGGAAGUGCUCAAGACCUACAAUGUGGCCAUGGACUACCCCACCCUGUUCCUGACCGUCUGGAACUUCGGGGCGGUGGGCAUGGUGUGCAUCCACUGGAAGGGCCCCUUGGUGCUGCAGCAGGCCUAUCUCAUCAUGAUCAGCGCGCUCAUGGCCUUGGUGUUCAUCAAGUACCUCCCAGAGUGGUCUGCGUGGGUCAUCCUGGGCGCCAUCUCUGUGUACGAUCUCGUGGCUGUGCUGUGCCCCAAAGGGCCGCUGAGAAUGCUGGUAGAAACUGCCCAGGAGAGAAACGAGCCCAUAUUUCCUGCCCUGAUAUAUUCAUCCGCCAUGGUGUGGACAGUGGGCAUGGCCAAGUUGGACCCCUCCUCUCAGGGAGCCCUUCAGCUCCCCUACGACCCAGAGAUGGAGGACUCCUGUGACAGUUUGGGGGAGCCCUCGUACCCUGAAGUCUUUGCGCCCCCCCUGCCUGGCUACCCGGGGGAGGAGCUGGAGGAGGAGGAGGAAAGGGUCCGAGGAAGUCGCCUGAGGAAGUAACUUCUGAGCUGAGCUCCAGAGGCUGAGCCACUGGAACUCGGAGAGGGGGACGCACAGCGGGGGUGCGUUUCCAGCUGAGGGGACCUUGGGAGCAGAGACCCUGAGGCAGACGGCACGGUGAGUUAGAGCCAGUGAAGGCAGGACGCUGAGACCCGAGUGCAGAGAUGGGGCAGGGAGGCAGGCAGGGACUUGAGGGGCCUUCUGGAUCAAAACGGGGAUCUGGUCUGUGUCCCGUGAGCGGUGGGAGCCGUGGGGGGUGGGGGAGGGUUUUGAGCUGCAUGGGAGGAGGGGCAUGAGGGAGAAGGGCAGGUUUGUGGCUGGCAGAGUGUGCACCUGCGUGGCUUGAGGACGUCCCCAUGCAGCCAUGGGGGACGCAGGCGUGGGCUCUGGGCUCAGAGGGCCGGCUGGGCUGGGCAGGUCAGCGCCAACAGCAUGGCUCCGUGAUGGGACUGACAGUGGAGCUGGGGUGGAGACUCCCCCAGGCAGAGCCCCGGGUGUUUGCGGGCAGAAGGAGCUGGUGUGGAAGGCCGUCCUGAAGACACACCCAAAGACGUUCUAACAUAUGGCUGUGUUCCCAAGGGGAUUAAAAUAGCCAUUCCAUCAGCACACGUUUCUGUACCACCUACUAUGUGCCGGGUGGCACGUGGGAACAGGGAGGUGCUGCAGGAUUAAAACAGCCUCUGCCCUUGAGAAGUUCCCCGUGGGAGCAGCCCAGGUGGGGGAGGUGAGGUAUAAAGUACUCAGGGCAGACCCGGGGAAGAAGAUGAUGCCGAGGUGGGCCUGGAAGGACAAGUCGGUCACCCGGCAGACAGGCUGUCAGGCUGCAGCCCAGGCCUGGCGCUGAGCCCCCGGAGUCAGCGCGGAUCCCACCGGGGCACAGUCCACAAGGCCACCCUCGCUUCACACGCCAGCCCCAAGUCCUGGGGGUCUCCAGGCCACCCGCACUUCUGACCGACUGGCUACAGAUCUGGGGGUUCCCACAACCCCCCCAGGUUGGAAAAGUUGCUAGAACGACUCGCAGAACUCGGGAAAGUACUAAACUUAGAAUUACAGUUUUAGUAUAAAGGAUACAAAUCAGGACCAGCCAGAUGAAGAGCCACAUUGCUCGCGGGACUGGACUUCAUCUCCAGGCUCCCUCUUCUCCCCAGAGGGGGCGUGAAGCUCGGCCUCGGAGACUUCAUCUUCUACAGCGUGCUGGUGGGCAAGGCGGCAGCCACGGGCAGUGGGGACUGGAACACCACGCUGGCCUGCUUUGUGGCCAUCCUCAUC